UUAAAGUGUUCUACCAUAUUGAAAGACAAAUGAGAAGCAAAGAGGAAAUCAGGAAAGGAUUUCUUGGUCAGUUUGGUGUUUGAGCUGUUAAUGGUGUUGUCUGGUGUGGAUCUUGCAGUCAUUUUCCAUCUGAGAGAUUCCCUGAAAUGGAACUCGUGCAAACUUGCAGUUGGACAUCAUACUUCUACGUCUUAUGGUUGUGUUGAUGUAGUGUUGCACUAAUGUGCAAGAGUCGAUGCAGUCUGAUGAAUAUCGAAAAUUAUUAUUUCGGCUGCAUUUUGUCGAUCUGUCGUCUCUUGCUACCUGUACGCACGCUGAGUUCAAUCGUUCGCCACCACUCUUCAGACUAGAUCCAUCGGUGAAACGGAGGAGAGGCUGCUGAGAUUCAAGACUGAUAAAUCAUUUAGAUUAAGACAAAUUACAAAAGCAUAUCUAUUCUCCCUGUUCCCUAAGUAAAUAGUGUGUCAGCUGUUAGUUACUCGUGUGAAAACUAGGAGUGUUCUUAUCGAAAGGAAAGUUGCAGAGUCUUUUUCGCAUAAAAUGGCGGUGACCAUUGGGGAAUUUUUUUUGUAUCUCGUGCAGAAACACUUCAGAGCUAGUAAAGUAAUUUUGUUGAUAAGUUUCCCUGCAAUAAUGCAACAGGUUUUAUUAGUUGAUGUUUAGGUCAGAGACAGAGAUCCCUUUGCUUAACUGUUGCAGAAAUUGAGAACAUAACAAAGUCUGAGCUUCAUGUAUGCCUUAUAUGGCUGCCGUAUCAUUAAUAUGGUUUUGUUGCAGUCAGUUGGUGAAAGGUGUGAUCGGGCGUCAAGUUGAGCUGCAGCUGUUGCAUGCAGUUUAUCAAGUUGGUGUUAUCUGAAUUCUGAAGUGUCACUGCAGGAAGACUUCUUGAAUUGUUGAAUCGUUUGCUGCCGUUCCAUGGACUUGAUCCAUUGGUAACACUGACUGAGGAGAAUUUGCUGAAAUUCAAGACUCGUCAAUAAAUUAUGUAGAUGCUGUAGAUAAAUUACAAGUACAUAUCUGGGCUCCGUUCUUCAGUGGCCCAGUUUCCCUAAAUAACCACUAAGGCACUAACCAACGCCCGCCGAUGGCCACUCACUCGCUGCCACAACCAGGAGGAAGGGAGAUGUCUGGUCGAACGGGGACUUGCGAGGCGCAUGAUUCGAUGAAAUCUGUUGGAGGGUCAUGAGUCUAAGCCGGAAGCCUACUAAUAUGAUGAUGCAUUGCUUUCAUAAUAACUGCUUCUUCGCUCUUUUUCCGGUUUCUCUUAACCACAGCCGGGUAAUCCUCCCUGGUAGAGUCAGUCGGGCAGUGUCUCCCCCUGCUUGACUGGCUGCAGUUUUUACCGGACGGUUUGUUUAAUAAAUAAAACAAGUAUAAAAAACCA
rnacentral:lncRNA from 1 species